UAAAGGUAAGCUGAAAACUUUAUAGAGUAGGCA
rfam:Flavobacterium plurextorum strain CCTG 60112 WGS0045_contig_2, whole genome shotgun sequence.